rnacentral:tRNA from 2 species
GGGCGAUUGGCGCAGCGGUAGCGCAUCUGCUUUACACGCAGUUGGUCGGGGGUUCGAGUCCCUCAUCGCCCACCA